AUAAAUACUAUAACAUACAUUUUUUAUCGAUGACUUUUAGUUUUGCCACACAUGAAAACACCAUGGACUUGUCCAGAGGUAACAUCCCGUAUUACAAAUACGUAUAAGGCACGUAAGAAACGAAGUCUGACUUCAAAAAAUUUUCAUAUGAGAUGUCCGAUACAAACGUCUAUAUGGAGUGUCACGCGUGGAACGACAACAAAUUGGAAAGCAUUUUCUGCAAAAGAGCCAAUGCCACGAUGUGUGUGGAUGAUGAUAGAAAACAACGACGAGUACUUCAAAGAGAGCUUCCGUAAGAGAAGAAGGCCUUUUCGUUUUUGGUGGACCGACUGCCUUCUUCGAAGACCUCAACCAUCUUUUAAACGCAUUGUAUUUCAAAUUUACUACAGAUACAGAUUUUCCUAUUUAAACAUCGGCUCUGCAGGGCUCUGCAACGACUUCACUAUUUAUCAAAAGCCCAGUCUGGCAAGGAAAAUGGUGUCUUCUCCGUUCCUUUAGGGAAAAACAGAGGAAAAUUGAGGUGCAAAUUUGGAACUCUGCCAUCGAUUUUCCCAAACGCUGACCAUUUUCCACAACUGCGUCUGAAGCACAGUGAAAUUUCAACUACAGUCUGUCCAAAGUUAGGCGAGUAGUAGAAAGUGCUUUUGAAAAACCGUGUCCCCACAUUUUGUCUUACCUCACAGAGGUUGUUCCAAUGUGCAAGUUAUAUAACAACUUUGAGCCAAGAGCCAAUCUCCAAAUAACUCUGACUGACUCCGAGAUAAAUCCGUGGUCAGCUAUUUCUCUUAACUACGCGAGUGUAUGUAAAGAGCAGUGAAUAAAAUAAAAGUUUUUAAUAGUGAGUAAGUGAAUUUCAAAAAUAAAUAUAAAUUGUUUUAACAAAUUCA